rnacentral:rRNA from 1 species
UAACUAGCCCGUAUUGCUUUGGCAGUACGCUGGCUUCUUAGAGGGACUUUCGGCUUAAGCCGAAGGAAGUGCGAGGCAAUAACAGGUCUGUGAUGCCCUUCGAUGCUCUGGGCCGCACGCGCGCUACACUGACGGAGCCAGCGAGUACUCCCUUGGCCGAAAGGCCUG